rnacentral:rRNA from 1 species
AAGCCCGUGAUGAAAGAAACCAAUCAGCGGUCUUGACCUAGUAACGGCGAGUGAAGCGGCAACAGCUCAAAUUUGAAAUCUGGCUCUUUUAGAGUCCGAGUUGUAAUUUGCAGAGGGCGCUUUGGCUUUGGCAGCGGUCCAAGUUCCUUGGAACAGGACGUCACAGAGGGUGAGAAUCCCGUACGUGGUCGCUGGCUAUUGCCGUGUAAAGCCCCUUCGACGAGUCGAGUUGUUUGGGAAUGCAGCUCUAAAUGGGAGGUACAUUUCUUCUAAAGCUAAAUAUUGGCCAGAGACCGAUAGCGCACAAGUAGAGUGAUCGAAAGAUGAAAAGCACUUUGGAAAGAGAGUCAAACAGCACGUGAAAUUGUUGAAAGGGAAGCGCUUGCAGCCAGACUUGCUUACAGUUGCUCAUCCGGGUUUUUACCCGGUGCACUCUUCUGUAGGCAGGCCAGCAUCAGUUUGGGCGGUAGGAUAAAGGUCUCUGUCACGUACCUCCUUUCGGGGAGGCCUUAUAGGGGAGACGACAUACUACCAGCCUGGACUGAGGUCCGCGCAUCUGCUAGGAUGCUGGCGUAAUGGCUGUAAGCGGCCCGUCUUGAAACACGGACCAAGGAGUCUAACAUCUAUGCGAGUGUUUGGGUGUCAAGCCCGAGCGCGUAAUGAAAGUGAACGGAGGUGGGAACCCGCAAGGGUGCACCAUCGACCGAUCCUGAUGUCUUCGGAAGGAUUUGAGUAAGAGCAUGGCUGUUGGGACCCGAAAGAUGGUGAACUAUGCUUGAAUAGGGUGAAGCCAGAGGAAACUCUGGUGGAGCUCGCAGCGGUUCUGACGUGCAAAUCGAUCGUCAAAUUUGGGCAUAGGGGCGAAAGACUAAUCGAACUAUCUAGUAGCUGGUUCCUGCCGAGUCCCUCCCGGAAAAGAAAAGG